GAUGAACGCUGGCGGCGUGCCUAAUACAUGCAAGUCGAGCGAACGGACGAGAAGCUUGCGUCUCUGAUGUUAGCGGCGGACGGGUGAGUAACACGUGGAUAACCUACCUAUAAGACUGGGAUAACUUCGGGAAACCGGAGCUAAGACCGGAUAAUAUUUUGAACCGCAUGGUUCAAAAGUGAAAGACGGUCUUGCUUUCACUUAUAGAUGGAUCCGCGCUGCAUUAGCUAGUUGGUAAGGUAACGGCUUACCAAGGCAACGAUGCAUAGCCGACCUGAGAGGGUGAUCCGCCACACUGGCACUGAGACACGGUCCCGACUCCUACGGGAGGCAGCAGUAGGGAAUCCUACGCAAUGGGCGAAAGCCUGACGGAGCAACGCCGCGUGAGUGAUGAAGGUCUUCGGAUCGUAAAACUCUGUUAUUAGGGAAGAACAUAUGUGUAAGUAACUGUGCACAUCUUGACGGUACCUAAUCAGAAAGCCACGGCUAACUACGUG
rnacentral:rRNA from 1 species